rnacentral:lncRNA from 1 species
GCACGUGGUAUCUAUCUCCCAUGAAGCUACACUUCUCUUCAUAACCAUAUCCACUACACCUUUGCGUCUGAUAAGAUCUGCACCUUUAUGCAUCCAUUUUCUUGAGCUUUUUCCAAUGCAGUCCGUAUUGCAAGCACUUCUGCAAUGAUGGUCUUCCCAACAAAUUGAAUUGGGGAGCCAAGGGCUUGAAGCAAAUUUCCAGAGCUAUCCAUAGCUGUCAUUCCAAUGUUUGCCAUAAUCUUCUCCUUUUGUAAGCUAGCAUCUGCAAACAUAAUCACAAAAUCUUGUGCUACAAUAAUUGCAUUAUUAGUAUUUAGUAGUAUGGUCAAGACCCAAUGUGAGAGAAGGCAUAGCAAGUGAAUUACUUUCAUAUUCCUUAAUCACUAUGACUUCAUUAUGUAAGUUCAGAGAACUUUGUCUUAUUCAAAAUAAGUUGUGUACUACCUAAAUUAUAAGGGAAAAUGACACUCACUCGCCAUUUUUAAAAAGAAAAAUUUCAGAAAUAGCAACUGCAUAGCCUUAAUUAUAACUUUUAUAGCAACAGUUUCAAAAUUACGAAAAGAAGCAAUAUGUAUUUUGUAUUUUAGUAAAAGGUUGUUGUAAAAAUACAUAUACAAAGAGGGUAAACGUUUCUUAUUUAACUCUAAUUAGUUAGAGUUAAAUAAAGGAUAAAAUUGUUCCUUAUUUUAUGCAACAUUUAAUUAACAGAUUCCUUUACCUUUUAUGACUCUUUUAAUUUUAUCUUAACCGUUAAUUUACAUAUUCAAAUUCAAAAAUCGUUUUCCAUAUUCAUCACGUAAAAGCAGAUUAAAAAAAACUGAGUGAUUGAAAUAUCGUUGAUGAACGUCUGUAUUUUACGAAGAAUAAUUGAAUAAACAACGCGACAAUUACAGGUAUGGAUAAACAAACUUUGAGAUCAUAUUUAUGCAAUUGCAAAAAUUUCUAGAAAAUUAAUAACAAGAUGGGUUAACGUUCAUGAAGUUGAAACUUUUAGAUCGUAUUUUAAAUUUUAUAAGUUCUGGGUUAAAAUUUCGUUUUUGACAUUUUUUUUCAAAUUCAAAGUUUUCCUUGUCGUUAUUAUUUAUAAAACUAAAUUACAAUUCUUAUACGUUAAAUUUGAAAUUUAGUCGAUGAUACAUAUUAUUCGACUAAAACAUUAGUUUUCGUUGGAAUUUGUUUUUUUGUUGUGUAUAUACAAAUUAUUAAUUGUAUGUCGUACAUAUUAUAUAAUUGAAUUUGUAUUUAAUGUUUUGUAGUGUUCUGGACAUUGAUGAUGGGAAGCAUACUUGUUCUCAUUAAACACACUGGUAAUAUGAACAACAUUGAACAACAAUAUGAAGAUUACAUCAGUGAUGCGAUGUUGUUGAGCAUAAACGCUUCGUAUAACCAACUCUACGCACUACUAGCUUUGCACAUUGAUAUAGAUUUGAAAUGCAAAAACAUUCAGAUUGAAUAUCAAUUAACAGAUAUUGAAGGUAAAAUACGUAUACGUAAUGACAUGGGUUUGAAGGUCUGUAUUAUGCAGAAAAGGGAGAUAAAGGAAAUGGGUAUCUUGCCUUUGUAUGUAAGUGUUUCAUAAAAGGAUAGUUUCACACAUUUGUUAGUUCAUCAAUAUUUAAUGCUGAGAGUAUGAAUUUGUCUAUCACUACGUGUAACGUGAUAAAUACAAGUACUGAAAGAGCAUUGAUAGUUUCUACUUCAAAUGAAUGUUUGAGUGUAAUUGAGAUGGAUACAAUUAAAGUAAUUAUCUCGGACCCACAUCACAAACAUAUUGAGCUUGAACAAGUCUAUGUCUCGAAAAGUGUGUUAAAUCUGUGAUGAAAGAUUACACGAUUCGGGAAAAGUUUCAAUCACAAUCUGUUAGAUCAAAUAAAAGCUGAUAAGUUUGUCAUGUAUUUAAAUUUUUUUGUUUCCAUGUUGGUAAAUUGUAUUGCAGCAUAUGUAUUUACAAUAUACAUAUGUAUUAAAUUUUUCUUUUUUCCAUGUUGGUAAAUUAUAUUUCAG